UACAGCCAUAACACAUUGAAACACCAGUUCCCAUAUGAUCACCAAAGUUAAGCAAUGUCAAGCCUGUUCAGUACCUAGAUGUGUGACCACUUGGAAAUACCAGGUGCUGUAG